rnacentral:tRNA from 1 species
UCCUCGGUAGUAUGGUGGUGAGUAUCUCCGCCUGUCACGUAGAAGGCCCGGGUUCGAUUCCCGGCCGUGGAG